rnacentral:rRNA from 1 species
GACGAACGCUGGCGGCGUGCCUAAUACAUGCAAGUAGAACGCUGAAGAGAGGAGCUUGCUCUUCUUGGAUGAGUUGCGAACGGGUGAGUAACGCGUAGGUAACCUGCCUUGUAGCGGGGGAUAACUAUUGGAAACGAUAGCUAAUACCGCAUAACAAUGGAUGACACAUGUCAUUUAUUUGAAAGGGGCAAUUGCUCCACUACAAGAUGGACCUGCGUUGUAUUAGCUAGUAGGUGAGGUAACGGCUCACCUAGGCGACGAUACAUAGCCGACCUGAGAGGGUGAUCGGCCACACUGGGACUGAGACACGGCCCAGACUCCUACGGGAGGCAGCAGUAGGGAAUCUUCGGCAAUGGGGGCAACCCUGACCGAGCAACGCCGCGUGAGUGAAGAAGGUUUUCGGAUCGUAAAGCUCUGUUGUAAGUCAAGAACGAGUGUGAGAGUGGAAAGUUCACACUGUGACGGUAGCUUACCAGAAAGGGACGGCUAACUACGUGCCAGCAGCCGCGGUAAUACGUAGGUCCCGAGCGUUGUCCGGAUUUAUUGGGCGUAAAGCGAGCGCAGGCGGUUUGAUAAGUCUGAAGUUAAGGCUGUGGCUCAACCAUAGUUCGCUUUGGAAACUGUCAAACUUGAGUGCAGAAGGGGAGAGUGGAAUUCCAUGUGUAGCGGUGAAAUGCGUAGAUAUAUGGAGGAACACCGGUGGCGAAAGCGGCUCUCUGGUCUGUAACUGACGCUGAGGCUCGAAAGCGUGGGGAGCGAACAGGAUUAGAUACCCUGGUAGUCCACGCCGUAAACGAUGAGUGCUAGGUGUUGGAUCCUUUCCGGGAUUCAGUGCCGCAGCUAACGCAUUAAGCACUCCGCCUGGGGAGUACGACCGCAAGGUUGAAACUCAAAGGAAUUGACGGGGGCCCGCACAAGCGGUGGAGCAUGUGGUUUAAUUCGAAGCAACGCGAAGAACCUUACCAGGUCUUGACAUCCCGAUGCUAUUUCUAGAGAUAGAAAGUUACUUCGGUACAUCGGUGACAGGUGGUGCAUGGUUGUCGUCAGCUCGUGUCGUGAGAUGUUGGGUUAAGUCCCGCAACGAGCGCAACCCCUAUUGUUAGUUGCCAUCAUUCAGUUGGGCACUCUAGCGAGACUGCCGGUAAUAAACCGGAGGAAGGUGGGGAUGACGUCAAAUCAUCAUGCCCCUUAUGACCUGGGCUACACACGUGCUACAAUGGUUGGUACAACGAGUUGCGAGUCGGUGACGGCAAGCUAAUCUCUUAAAGCCAAUCUCAGUUCGGAUUGUAGGCUGCAACUCGCCUACAUGAAGUCGGAAUCGCUAGUAAUCGCGGAUCAGCACGCCGCGGUGAAUACGUUCCCGGGCCU